rnacentral:tRNA from 1 species
GUCGUUCUAGCUCAAACGGUAGAGCAGUGGUCUCCAAAACCAUUGGUUCGGGGUUCGAAUCCUCGGGGCGGCGCGA